UGGUGGAGUGAUUUGUCUGGUUAAUUCCGUUAACGAACGAGACCUCUGGGUGUUAGAUGGGCUGCAUUUGGUUUCAAGUGUAUCUCUCCUAAACCGACUUUUAGUGACUAACUAAAGGAAGCUGGAGGCAAUAACA
rnacentral:rRNA from 1 species